AGACUUGGUCGUAGAGCCACGACCAACUAAAAUUAAAGAACGCUCACCAAGA
rnacentral:ncRNA from 1 species